UGACGUCAAAUCAGUCACGGCCCUUACGGCCUGGGCUACACACGUGCUACAAUGGUCGGUACAAAGGGUUGCCAAGCCGCGAGGUGGAGCUAAUCCCAUAAAACCGAUCGUAGUCCGGAUCGCAGUCUGCAACUCGACUGCGUGAAGUCGGAAUCGCUAGUAAUCGUGAAUCAGAAUGUCACGGUGAAUACGUUCCCGGGCCUU
rnacentral:rRNA from 1 species